GUUUGGGACAAGCUGUUAGCAAGCUUGAUGGCAUUAUCAGACUUGUUACAAGGUCGUUCUAAUAAGUCUGAUACAAUCGUGAUAUAACAAGGUCAACAAGAAUUUUACGAGGUUGACGACACAAGGUUGUAACAAUAUUGUAAUAUCAUGAAUGUAUUGGACUUGUUGGAAAAACCUUGCAACAAGUCUCGUAAUAUCAACAAGGUUGUUACAAGUUGUCAACAGCUUGCUCCAAACUUGUUGAGAACUUGGGACAAGCAGUGCGAACACAACUUGUUGAC